GACGAACGCUGGCGGCGUGCUUAACACAUGCAAGUCGAACGAUGAUGCUGGAGCUUGCUCCAGUUGAUUAGUGGCGAACGGGUGAGUAACACGUGAGCAAUCUGCCCUUGACUCUGGGAUAACUUCGUGAAACUGUAGCUAAUACCGGAUACUUUCACCGGAAGGCAUCUUCUGGUGAUGAAAGAAUUUCGGUCAGGGAUGAGCUCGCGGCCUAUCAGCUUGUUGGGGAGGUAACGGCUCACCAAGGCGACGACGGGUAGCCGGCCUGAGAGGGUGACCGGCCACACUGGGACUGAGACACGGCCCAGACUCCUACGGGAGGCAGCAGUGGGGAAUAUUGCACAAUGGGCGCAAGCCUGAUGCAGCAACGCCGCGUGAGGGAUGAAGGCCUUCGGGUUGUAAACCUCUUUUAGCAGGGAAGAAGCGAAAGUGACGGUACCUGCAGAAAAAGCACCGGCUAACUACGUGCCAGCCGCCGCCGUAA
rnacentral:rRNA from 1 species